rnacentral:rRNA from 1 species
CUUUGUGGUCGCGAUGGGCACUGGGCCUCGAAGUGUCACAAGCACUUCCAGCGGGGUUUUCUUGGUCUCGGCAAUGACGGGAAGGAUACACGCAACUUUGCUCGUCAGGUCGCCAUGGCUGAUCGUCCGCCGCCGCAGAAGCCACAGGGACACACUCAGUCCUACUUCAUUGAUCCCCACUGGUACAUGGACUCUGGGGCGACAGAGCACCUGACCAGUGAGAUGGGGAAGCUUCACACUCGUGAACCCUACCAUGGCUCCGACAAGAUCCACACCGCCAAUGGAGCAGGUAUGCACAUCUCUCAUAUUGGUCAAGCAUCACUUCUCACUAGACAUGCCAAUAAGAGUCUUCAACUUGGCAAUGUUCUUCGAGUUCCA